ACGUAGGUGGCGAGCGUUAUCCGGAUUUACUGGGUGUAAAGGGCGCGUAGGCGGGAAUGCAAGUCAGAUGUGAAAUCCAGGGGCUUAACCCUUGAACUGCAUUUGAAACUGCAUUUCUUGAGUGUCGGAGAGGUUGACGGAAUUCCUAGUGUAGCGGUGAAAUGCGUAGAUAUUAGGAGGAACACCAGUGGCGAAGGCGGUCAACUGGACGAUAACUGACGCUGAGGCGCGAAAGCGUGGGGAGCAAACAG
rnacentral:rRNA from 1 species